GAUGAACGCUGGCGGCGUGCCUAAUACAUGCAAGUCGAGCGAACGGACGAGAAGCUUGCUUCUCUGAUGUUAGCGGCGGACGGGUGAGUAACACGUGGAUAACCUACCUAUAAGACUGGGAUAACUUCGGGAAACCGGAGCUAAUACCGGAUAAUAUUUUGAACCGCAUGGUUCAAAAGUAAAAGACGGUCUUGCUGUCACUUAUAGAUGGAUCCGCGCUGCAUUAGCUAGUUGGCAAGGUAACGGCUUACCAAGGCAACGAUGCAUAGCCGACCUGAGAGGGUGAUCGGCCACACUGGAACUGAGACACGGUCCAGACUCCUACGGGAGGCAGCAGUAGGGAAUCUUCCGCAAUGGGCGAAAGCCUGACGGAGCAACGCCGCGUGAGUGAUGAAGGUCUUCGGAUCGUAAAACUCUGUUAUUAGGGAAGAACAUAUGUGUAAGUAACUGUGCACAUCUUGACGGUACCUAAUCAGAAAGCCACGGCUAACUACGUG
rnacentral:rRNA from 1 species